GGGAGGAGGAAGGGAGAGAGCGGACAGAGAGCAGAGCAGAGAGCAGAGAGAAGAGAGAGCAGAGAGAGAGCAGAGAGAGAGAAGAGAGAGAGAGCAGAGAGAGAGAAGAGAGAGAAAACAGAGAGAGAAGAGAGGGCAGAGAGAGCAAAGAGCAGAGAGCAGAGAGGAAGAGAGGGCAGAGAGCAGAGAGCAGAGAGAGCAAAGAGCAGAGAGAGCAGCGAGAGAGCAGAGAGAAAGACCAGAGAGCAGAGAGAGAAAGAGCAGAGAGUGAGAAGAGAGAGGGCAGAGAGAGCAAAGAGCAGAGAACAGAGAGAAAGAGAGAGAGCAGAGAGAAAGCAGGGAGAGAGAAGAGAGAGAGCAGGGAGAGAGAAGAGAGGGGGCAGAGAGAGCAGAGAACAGAGAGAGAGGGGGCAGAGAGAGCAGAGAACAGAGAGAGACGGGGCAGAGAGAGCAGAGAACAGAGAGACAGAGGGCAGAGAGAGCAGAGAGCAGAGAGAGAACAGAGAGAGCAGAGAACAGAGAGAGAAAAGAGAGAGAGCAGAGCGAGCGAGAAGAGAGGAGCGAGAAGAGAG
rnacentral:lncRNA from 1 species